rnacentral:rRNA from 1 species
AUUGAACGCUGGCGGCAGGCUUAACACAUGCAAGUCGAGCGAGCGGCGGACGGGUGAGUAAUGUCUGGGAAACUGCCUGAUGGAGGGGGAUAACUACUGGAAACGGUAGCUAAUACCGCAUACCAUCAGAUGUGCCCAGAUGGGUUUAGCUAGUAGGUGGGGUAAUGGCUCACCUAGGCCACGAUCCCUAGAUGGUCUGAGAGGAGGACCAGCCACACUGGAACUGUGACACGGUCCAGACGCCUACGGGAGGCAGCAGUGGGGAAUAUUGCACAAUGGGCGCAAGCCUGAUGCAGCCAUGCCGCGUGUGUGAAGAAGGCCUUCGGGUUGUAAAGCACUGUCAGCGGGGAGGCGGUAAAGGGAGAAGAAGCACCGGCUAACUCCGUGCCAGCAGCCGCGGUAAUAG